CUGAGUGUCGCUGAAGGUCGGGGAUUCGUCUUCCCAAGCUGAGAACGCGGGUUCGAUUCCCGUCACCCGCUCCA
rnacentral:tRNA from 1 species